rnacentral:rRNA from 2 species
UGGACCCACCUGAUUCCAUGCCGAACUCAGAAGUGAAACGCAAUAGCGCCGAUGGUAGUGUGGGGCUUCCCCAUGUGAGAGUAGGACAUCGCCAGGC